UACAGCCAUAUCACAUUGAAACACUGGUUCUUGUUUGAUCACUGAAGUUAAGCAAUAUUGAGCCUGGUCAGUAAUUAGAUGAGUUACCGCUUGGGAAUACCAAGUGCUGUAAG